GUUAAUGAGGGAACUUGAGCAGAUAUAGAACAAAAGGAGGUUUCAAAGGCAGAGGAAAAAGUCAAGUUGACUACUGAAAAAAUACAUAAUUUAAAGAAAAGAGUUGGAGAAACUGAAGAAGAAGAGAAGAGAAAAGAUACCACCUUUCUAAACCAGGGUUCGUGUUUUGGAGCAGGUAAUGGUGAAGAACUCCAGGGAGGCCAUCUACCUGAAAGAGAGAUGAAACUGGGAUAUUUAUCUUUAAGAUUUUUUUUUAUUUCUUCAGAGAGAGAGAGACAGACAGACAGAGAAGAAAGAGAUACACUCUCUAACAUGGUUUUGCAACUACCUACCCUCCUACUAAAUUGGACAAGA